GCCAAAGAACAAAGGGGGCAAGAAUAGAAAAACUCUAAGGAGGAAAAAUUCAAGAGAAAUUCAUUGGAUUUUCAAAAAACGAAGCGAUCGAAGAUGGUGAGCUUUCUGGUAAAGGUAAGGAUAUCGUACCUGAGGACUAAGAGUAGGAGUACUCCCGUUUAUAGUUCAAAACAGUCUGUAGAUAGUCAAUUUUGUUGAGGGUUUGCUUUUGGAUUUGCACCUUUAAAAAUCGGGAGGUGGAGAACUGAUGCUAGAGCCUUGCAAGGUUUCAGUUGACAUUCCGGGUAAGGUAUGUCUAUCAGGACAUUGCGACUGUUAUCACAAGCUUGAAGAAAGUACCGGGUCGUGACAAAUACCAAGUGUUAAAGCUCAAUAUACUAAUUGAUAGAUAUAAAUAAAAUCUCCCCUGUUGUAAAAGCACAAUAUCAAUUAUGAGAGAUGGAAUCAUUUUAAAGUUCAUUCUAUCAAUUGGUAAAGCA